GUGACUGCAUUUAGCAAUGAGCCAUCAGGUGAAGUAGGGAGUCAACAGAAUGAGCAGCUGGUCGAAGAUGAUGACAAGGUUGGAGAUAGGAUAAGAGGUGUCAAUGAUGCAAUGCAGCUAGAAACAAAUGCAACAACUCAGUUUGAUCUGAGAAGUGAGAGCACCAGGUUGGAAGAUGCUGGUUCGAGAGGACCUGGAAAAAUGCUAGCGACUCCUGAACCAG
rnacentral:misc_RNA from 1 species